rnacentral:lncRNA from 1 species
AGGCAAUGAAGAACGCUUGAUGUAUUUUAAGCAAAGAUCAAUACAAAAACAUUCCAGUUUGACUGAAAGGGGCGGCAGGUGAGAGCAUAGGUUGGAGCUGUUUCCGUUUAGGUAAAAUGGAUAGAAUAAUAGUACUUACCUCAAAGGAUUGUUGAAGAGAAUCAACAAGAUGAUAUCCCUGAAGCACUGGGAAUAGUGUCUGGCACACAGCACUCUCCCAGGAGCACACCGCGGCGCUAGAGAAGACCAGGAAAAAGGACCUGAGCCAGCUUGCCGUCUUAACAAAAAUUUCAAACUUUGCAAAGCGGUAUACCUUCUUAUUCUCCAGUUCAGUAUUGCCAGUGAAGUCAUACUGAACGCAGACAAGGAAAAGAAAGAAAAAGAUGUUCAGCCUCAGAACGUAGCCACCUUGCUGUGAGAAAGCCCAACCAUCUUGUACAGCGAGACCACAUGGAGAGGCGCAUGUGGAAAGGAACGGAGGCUACAAGCCGAUAGCCAGCAUCGACUGCCAGGCACGGAGAGUGAGUCUUCAGAUGAAUCCAGCCUCAGCCUAGAGUCUUUUGUCUCAGGCCCCAGACACUGUGGAGCAGGGACAAGCCAUCCCCACUGUGUCCCACCCGCAUUCCUGAUCCACAGAAUCUAUGAGCACAAUAAAUAGUUGCUUUAUGGCAGAGAAA